rnacentral:rRNA from 1 species
UACGAAGGGGGCUAGCGUUGCUCGGAAUCACUGGGCGUAAAGCGCACGUAGGCGGAUUGCUAAGUCAGGGGUGAAAUCCUGGAGCUCAACUCCAGAACUGCCUUUGAUACUGGCGAUCUCGAGUCCGGGAGAGGUGAGUGGAACUGCGAGUGUAGAGGUGAAAUUCGUAGAUAUUAGGAAGAACACCAGUGGCGAAGGCGGCUCACUGGCCCGGUACUGACGCUGAGGCGCGAAAGCGUGGGGAGCAAACAGG